AACGAACGCUGGCGGCAUGCCUAACACAUGCAAGUCGAACGAGACCUUCGGGUCUAGUGGCGCACGGGUGCGUAACGCGUGGGAACCUGCCCUUAGGUUCGGAAUAACUCCCCGAAAGGGGUGCUAAUACCGGAUAAUGUCUUCGGACCAAAGAUUUAUCGCCUUUGGAUGGGCCCGCGUUGGAUUAGCUAGUUGGUAGGGUAAAAGCCUACCAAGGCGACGAUCCAUAGCUGGUCUGAGAGGAUGAUAAUCCACACUGGGACUGAGACACGGCCCAGACUCCUACGGGAGGCAGCAGUAGAGAAUAUUAGACAAUGGGCGAAAGCCUGAUCCAGCCAUGCCGCGUGAGUGAUGAAGGCCUUAGGGUUGUAAAGCUCUUUUACCCGGGAUGAUAAUGACAGUAACGGGAGAAUAAGCUCCGGCUAACUCCGUG
rnacentral:rRNA from 1 species